UCUACGGGAGGCAGCAGUUAGGAAUAUUGGUCAAUGGAGGAAACUCUGACCCAGCAACGCCGCGUGAAGGAAGACGGUUUUCGGAUUUUAAACUUCUGAUCUUUGGGAAGUAGAAAAUGACGCUACCACAGGAUAACACCACGGCUAACUACGUGCCACCAGCCGCUGUAAUACGUAGGGGGCGAUCGUUGUCCGGAAUAACUGGGCGUAAGGGUAGCGUAGGUGGUUAAUUAAGUUAGGUGUGAAAGCCCAGGGCUCAACUCUGGAAUUGAACUUAAAACGGGUUAAGUAGAGUGCAGGAGGGGUGAACGGAAUUUCUGGUGUGGCGGUGAAAUGGGUAGAUAUUAGGAGGAACACGAGAGGCGAAGGAGGUUCACUGGACUGCAACUGACACUGAGGUCGAAAGCGUGGGGAGCAAACAGGAUUAGAUACCCGUGUAGUC
rnacentral:rRNA from 1 species